rnacentral:rRNA from 1 species
UACGGGGGGGGCAAGCGUUGUUCGGAAUUACGGGGCGUAAAGGGCUCGUAGGCGGCCAACUAAGUCAGACGUGAAAUCCCCAGGCUCAACCUGGGAACUGCGUCUGAUACUGGAUGGCUUGAAUUCGGGAGAGGGAUGCAGAAUUCCAGGUGUAGCGGUGAAAUGCGUAGAUAUCUGGAGGAAUACCGGUGGCGAAGGCGGCAUCCUGGACCGACAUUGACGCUGAUGAGCGAAAGCUAGGGGAGCAAACGGG